rfam:Triticum aestivum genome assembly, contig: Triticum_aestivum_CS42_TGACv1_scaffold_049439_1BS
AAAAUACUCCCUCCGUCCGGAAAUACUUGUCAUUGAAAUGGAUGUAUCUAGAUGUAUUUUAGUUCUAGAUACAUCAAUUUUCAUCCAUUUUAAUGACAAGUAAUUCCGUACGGAGGGAGUAAGUU